GGCUCAGGAUGAACGCUGGCGGCGUGCUUAACACAUGCAAGUCGAACGAAGCACUUUAUUUGAUUUUCUUCGGAAAUGAAGAUUUUGUGACUGAGUGGCGGACGGGUGAGUAACGCGUGGAUAACCUGCCUCAUACAGGGGGAUAACAGCCGGAAACGGCUGCUAAUACCGCAUAAGCGCACGGUACCGCAUGGUACAGUGUGAAAAACUCCGGUGGUAUGGGAUGGAUCCGCGUCUGAUUAGCCAGUUGGCGGGGUAACGGCCCACCAAAGCGACGAUCAGUAGCCGACCUGAGAGGGUGACCGGCCACAUUGGGACUGAGACACGGCCCAAACUCCUACGGGAGGCAGCAGUGGGGAAUAUUGCACAAUGGAGGAAACUCUGAUGCAGCGACGCCGCGUGAGCGAUGAAGUAUUUCGGUAUGUAAAGCUCUAUCAGCAAGGGAAGAUAAUGACGGUACCUGAGUAAGAAGCUCCGGCUAAAUACGUG
rnacentral:rRNA from 1 species